UAGAACUCAUCUCUCUCCUGUCAUUCAGAUCAACAUGAAGAUCUCUAUCUUUGCUGGUGUUCUGCUGCUCUCUGCUGCUCUCAUGUUCCUGGGACCAGAAACUGCAGAUGCUCUGUCCUUUGAUACUAGGCACGUCAACAUGAGGGAUGACUGCUGCCCAAUGUACCAAUGUGAUGAAUGAGGAAAGGAGAAAAAUUCAAUCAGGGAAAACAAACCCUGCAAGGAUACCAAUACCUUCUUGAAUGGCAGGGAAAAGGUACAGGUGGCUUGUUGGUGACCUAGUUUCCCUCCCUGUCUGCUGGGGAACCUGCAGAAAAGUCUGAUAUAAAGAGGAGCUCACAAACAAGUGGAGACACUGGAUGGUCAAACACAAAGGGAUCAACAUGAAGAUCUCUAUCUUUGCUGGUGUUCUGCUGAUCUCUGCUGCCGUGCUCUCUGUGGACGGACAAAGUUGGACUAAGUUUGAGCAUAAGCAUAUCAAUGCUGGGAUGACUGUUGUCCAAUGUACCCAGGUUAUAAAAGAUAGAAAAAUCGUGACCCCACCCACCCAAGUGAACCCAAGCAACAGCUGCAAGAGUCUCAAUACCUUCAUCAUCAAAGGAGAUGUGAAAGCCAUCUGUGCUGUAGGAGGAGGAGACCCAUAUGGCAACAACGGUAUGACAAUCAGCAAAGCUACUUUCCCAAUUGUUGACUGUAACCUGGUGAAGCAGAAUCCACCUGCUGUUCCCUACAACUGUCGGUACAAAGGAGUAGCUCGUAACAACAGAAGAAUUAUAGUCAGAUGUGAACAUGGUCUUCCUGUUCACUUACAUGGAAGUCAGUAAUAUGUUACUACCUGAUGAACCAGAGUAAUCUGUUACUACCUGAUGAAUCAGAGUAAUCUGUUACUACCUGAUGAAUCAGAGUAAUCUAUUACUACCUGAUGUAUCAGUAUAACUUGUGUCUCC